CGCAACUAUUCACUUCAAAUCUUUUCAUGGGUACCAGUUGUGUACGCAAUAUCCAGUGCACGCUGCUAGGCCAAAUAUACACAAGCAGAAGAAUUGAAGUCGCCUUAUCUAGUGGUGGGAUGGUCCAAACAAUUUGGCCAAAUGAUAAACCUAAUGACAUGAGACCAACAGUAUUGGAAAUCAUGAUGAAUUUGGAAAAAUAUCUGGAAUGAAGAUUGUGUUAACAUUGUACAGAAAAGGGAGAAGGACAACACCCUCUUUAGAUCUUCUGUGGAAAAAUUACAAUAUUACAGGACUGCUUUAAAACAUAGUGUCACAAUGUGUGCUGCAUGACCACAAGGGGAACAUUUUACAUGAAUAGAUAAAGAAUUUGCCUAUAU